rnacentral:rRNA from 1 species
AUUGAACGCUGGCGGCAGGCCUAACACAUGCAAGUCGAGCGGAUGAAGGGAGCUUGCUCCUGGAUUCAGCGGCGGACGGGUGAGUAAUGCCUAGGAAUCUGCCUGGUAGUGGGGGAUAACGUCCGGAAACGGGCGCUAAUACCGCAUACAUCCUGAGGGAGAAAGUGGGGGAUCUUCGGACCUCACGCUAUCAGAUGAGCCUAGGUCGGAUUAGCUAGUUGGUGGGGUAAAGGCCUACCAAGGCGACGAUCCGUAACUGGUCUGAGAGGAUGAUCAGUCACACUGGAACUGAGACACGGUCCAGACUCCUACGGGAGGCAGCAGUGGGGAAUAUUGGACAAUGGGCGAAAGCCUGAUCCAGCCAUGCCGCGUGUGUGAAGAAGGUCUUCGGAUUGUAAAGCACUUUAAGUUGGGAGGAAGGGCAGUAAGUUAAUACCUUGCUGUUUUGACGUUACCAACAGAAUAAGCACCGGCUAACUUCGUG